GAUGUGCAUAUUUGACCCUUUUCCUUCCAUGCAGUUGUGAAUUAGCCUGCUUCAAUGAAAGUCAGAAGGAUGAAAGAUUUUCAAGAGUAAAUUCCACCACUGAUAGGAUUGGCAGCUUCUCUUACCUCGAGGCAGUGGUUCCUAAUGAACAACCACAAGCCUGAGACCCUCAGCUCCACUUUGCCUCUGAUGAGGAUGUCAGUGAAUCAUCAGAGGGUACACUUGCAAGACUUUUACCUGCACCAACCAACAACUCAAAGACUUUCACUUUGAUCGCUGAAAGAAUCUAGCAUUUCACAUUGAAUAUGCUAAAUGAUGGAACAUCCAAACCCUCCAGAAAGACAAUUUGAAAGAUUCACACUGCUCUGAAUGAAGAAAUUUCUCCUUUUCCAAAUCCUGAAUAAUCAAUCCUAUAUCCUUAGAUUAUGUUUCAUGUUCUAGAUUCUCCAGCCAAUAAAAAGAAAUCUUAUUCUCAUCAAUCUCCUUC